UAAAGAAUUUCGGUAUGGGAUGGGGAUGCGUUCCAUUAGUUAGUUGGCGGGGUAACGGCCCACCAAGACAACGAUGGAUAGGGGUUCUGAGAGGAAGGUCCCCCACAUUGGAACUGAGACACGGUCCAAACUCCUACGGGAGGCAGCAGUGAGGAAUAUUGGUCAAUGGACGAGAGUCUGAACCAGCCAAGUAGCGUGAAGGAUGACUGCCCUAUGGGUUGUAAACUUCUUUUAUAUGGGAAUAAAAUGCUCCACGUGUGGGAUUUUGUAUGUACCAUAUGAAUAAGGAUCGGCUAACUCCGUGCCAGCAGCCGCGGUAAUACGGAGGAUCCGAGCGUUAUCCGGAUUUAUUGGGUUUAAAGGGAGCGUAGGUGGAUUGUUAAGUCAGUUGUGAAAGUUUGCGGCUCAACCGUAAAAUUGCAGUUGAAACUGGCAGUCUUGAGUACAGUAGAGGUGGGCGGAAUUCGUGGUGUAGCGGUGAAAUGCUUAGAUAUCACGAAGAACUCCGAUUGCGAAGGCAGCUCACUGGACUGCAACUGACACUGAGGCUCGAAAGUGUGGGUAUCAAACAGGAUUAGAUACCCUGGUAGUCCACACAGUAAACGAUGAAUACUCGCUGUUUGCGAUAUACAGUAA
rnacentral:rRNA from 1 species